rnacentral:pre_miRNA from 1 species
AUCGCCCAGGGAUCUUGUUAAAUGCAGAUUCCGAUUCAGUAAAUCUGGAAUGGGGCCUGAGAUUCUACAUUUCUAACGAGCUCCCAGGUGAUGCCAG